AUUGAACGCUGGCGGCAUGCCUAACACAUGCAAGUCGAACGGCAGCACGGUCUAGUUUACUAGAUGGGUGGCGAGUGGCGGACGGGUGAGUAAUGCGAAGGAAUAUACCUUAAAGAGGGGGAUAACUUGGGGAAACUCAAGCUAAUACCGCAUAAGAUCUGAGGAGAGAAGCUGGGGACCUUCGGGCCUGGCGCUUUAAGGUUAGCCUGCGUCCGAUUAGCUAGUUGGUAGGGUAAAGGCCUACCAAGGCGACGAUCGGUAGCUGGUCUGAGAGGAUGACCAGCCACACUGGAACUGAGACACGGUCCAGACUCCUACGGGAGGCAGCAGUGGGGAAUAUUGGACAAUGGGGGAAACCCUGAUCCAGCAAUGCCGCGUGUGUGAAGAAGGCCUGAGGGUUGUAAAGCACUUUCAGUGGGAAGGAGGAUUGACAGGUUAAGAGCUAGUUAAUUGGACGUUACCCACAGAAGAAGCACCGGCUAACUCCGUGCCAGCCGCCGCAGUAACAC
rnacentral:rRNA from 1 species